AUAAUUUGAUGCACUUCUGUUGAUAAACGAGGAGGACUCCUACUGCCUGUUUGUUGAAGCGCAACAUUUUUUUUUUUUUGUUGCUGUUGCCCUGUCUGAAGUAGAUAGGUUUGCUGACAGGUCUACUCAUGUGAUUUUAUUACUAUAUCAAUAGGUAUUAUGUAAAUUCUAAUGUCCCCAGAACCAAAUGGGUCCUUGGCUCGUUGUUUUUUCGCCUGUCACAGGGUAAAUAUAAAGCCUAUAUAUAAAACAAUCUACCUGCCAGGCCCUAAUAUAUCAAAUACAGUGGUACCUCUACAUACGAUCACUUCGACACACGAUCUUUUCGACAUCCGACGUAAAAUUUGAGCCGCCAUUUGUUUCUACAUCCGACGAGUUGCUCGAAAUACGACGACAUGACAGCACUGCAAACGAACGCACGGUGGAUUUUCUUGUGUGAGAAAUCAACACAGUUUUCAAAAAAAGUUGAUACAGUUGGAGAAACAAGGAAAAAAGUGAUGCUUACCUUUGAAAUGAAGAUGCAAGUUAUAGAAAAAUAUGAGCUUGGGGUGCGUGUCCCUGAACUGGCUCAACAAUACAGCUCCGUGGUCCUCUUCCGACCACCGUUCGCCACUAUUUAUAAGUUAAGGUGAAAAUUAUCAUUGUGGUAACAUUGCCAAGGAAAUCGCCAGCUUCGUCACGUUUUUAUCAUUUAUUUAAGAACUUAUCCAACACAAAACGCCCAUUAAGCAGUUGACUGCUCUCAAGAAAACGAAAGUAUUAUCUCUACCGCACCGACCUAUCUCACUUCGCGGUGCGUUCAGGGACAGUAAAAAGCCUGAACUGGCUCAACAAUACAGCUCCGUGGUCCUCUUCCGACCACCGUUCGCCACUAUUUAUAAGUUAAGGUGAAAAUUAUCAUUGUGGUAACAUUGCCAAGGAAAUCGCCAGCUUCGUCACGUUUUUAUCAUUAAUUUAAGAACUUAUCCAACACAAAACGCCCAUUGUCUUAAGCAGUUGACUGCUCUCAAGAAAACGAAAGUAUUAUCUCUACCGCACCGACCUAUCUCACUUCGCGGUGCGUUCAGGGACAGUAAAAAGUGUCCGCCAUAUUAGAAUCCGAUUCGUUACAUUAUUUACAGGAAUAAUUAUUAAUUAUUCUUCUUAUUAUUAUAUUAUUCUGAAUUAUUUAUUUAUAACUUAUUUGUUUUUCUAUGUUUAAUUGCCAUUUGUAACAGUGCCAGCAGUAUUUAUUAAGAAUUUAGUAUAUGUUUUUAGGCUUUGGAACGAAUUAAUGGAAUUAUAAUGUAUUCCUAUGGGAAAAUCCUGCUCGACAUACGACCAUUUCGACUUACAAACAAGGUCCUGGAACGAAUUAAAUUCGUAUGUAGAGGUACCACUGUACAUCUCAAUAAAACAAUAACUAUUGUACUACAGCAUCAACAUCAAGGUCUGCCUAUUUGAAGAGGGAACAAUAGCAUCAAAUUGAUGCUGCUUUGACUGGGGCAUUAUUAUUUGAUCACCAAGAAAUUCUCAUUAAAAUUAGGAUUCAUCCAAUAUUUUCAUGCUGCUGUGAUUUUUUUUUUUUUUUCCCAGGAAGCCAAACAUAAAAAAUUAAGCGGUGGAAACCCUCAACACGAUGAAAAAAGCGUUGCAAGUCAGUCGCCACCCAGUUUCCCAAAAUCAAGAGAGAGUGGGUCGAGUCAUAUGACGACCCAAGUGAUGCGGUGUCCAGCGAUGACGACUGAAGAGAUCCUAUGAGGCCUGCCAGAUGCUGAAUUUCUUCCGUCUGUGACAUCAGACGACGAUGACUUAGGAGAAAUAAAUGUAGCAAAUUUUAAUGACAUGAAAUCAUAAACUAGUCAUAUAGACCCUACUCGCCAACGUCACAGAAUGACGUGUCGCUGCAUCCGGCCGUCAUAUUGUCCGUCAGUGUUUAUCCGUAUUCUCAAUGGUUUCAAUUUGUCGUGCAAUUUAUAGUGCAAUUCAUGGAAGCCCCGGUGCUUUCAGAUGCUGUAAACUCAUUGGAUGCGUUGCAUAAAAGGCGUUAUGUGGAAAAGCUUCAAUCUAUCCAUUCGCCAGAUCCAUAUUUGAUGCCUAAAUAGAUAUUUUUCGACCCGCUGUCUUCGCCCUCUGCCUGACAUCUGCUACCCUGAUAUCUACAACUAUCUUGUCCACACAAAAUCAGCCUAUUCUCACGAAAGUUUGAAAAACUUUAGGAGCACCACUCUAAGCAACAUUACCCCGUGUGACCCUUUACUUCCAAUUUUCUAAAAUGGCGACAAUCAGUUAAAAAAAAAAGUUGACUGCAAUGGCCGACGCUUCAAGGAUAGGUGAAUAUUGGACUAUUUCUUCAAUAAAACAUGCAACAACUGUGUCUGCCUCUUUUGCAAAGAGACAGUCGGUGUUUUCAAAGAGUUCGAUGUGACGCGAUAUUACCAAACAAGACACGCUGACAUGUACGACAACAUUACAGGGAAGAUAUGCAGCGAGAAAUUAUAGCAACUUGAAGCUAGUUUCAUUUCACAGCAGCAGUAUUUCGCAAGAGCCCGAGUGUCGAAAGAGAACGCCACAAAGACGAGAUUGUUAAAUUUAUGAAUUAAAAAAAAUAAUAAAGCAAAUGUGACACACAGAAGGGCUUGCUAAAAUUUGUUUAAAUAUAUUGUUCUAUGUAAAUCAGCCAAGGUAGCCCCCCGCAUUUUUACCACACCAAAUCUGGCCCCCUUUGCAAAAGGUUUGGACACACCUGUUUAACUUCUUUCACUUGGUACCAGCUAAAUAUUAUUAAAAAAAUAAUGAUGGUGGAAGAAAUAAGCAUCUUGAAUUUGAAACUGUAUGUUGUCGGCGAUUAGCAAUGAUCUUAAUUGUGGUUGUUAGCCCAAAACCCUCUUAAUAUAUAUUAAAUGCAUCUUACCAGAUAUAAAAUGACUACUACAUAAUCUGUAGUGAUCGUUUGGUGCCCAGUUUUCUCGUCGAAUUGCAGCAGUCCAUCUCGCUCUCCUCUCCGGGUCUCUCAGACUGAGAGACUUGAAGUUCUACCGUAUUCAAUCUUCUCUGUUAUUGCAACCAACCGCCACACACGCCUUCACCAUUUUGAUUAUUAAUGUUAACGAGCAGAAAAACACGCCAUAAUAGGAGGAAUUUACGUAGCGGUAAUGCUUAAACCCGACGAGCUGACGGACAAUAUGUCGCGGAGGCGUGGUUGUGACGUCAUUGUGAGUGGGGUCUAUACACAGUACACAUUUUUUAAAAGAUAAAUCUAGUUACCUUCACAUUUUAAUGAUAAUGAUUUAUCUUUGUAUAGAGAACACUUAAUGCUACAGGAAAGACUAAAAACAUAUUUCCCACUGCCAUUAUCAUUUUUCAAUGUUGCGCUAGUCCGUUGCUAUCCUAACUUUGUGUUGCUUACUAAAUUUAUGUUCUUUGAUGUGUGCCAUUGUGUGCUUGGUAUAACUUAGCUUUCUAUGUUGUGUCACAAUCUGACAGCGAAAGCUGAUGCUGAUUGAACAUAAAUCUGGUAUCAUUUAUUAUUGUGGCUUAUUGAAUAUUUUUUCAGAAUGUAAUAUAAUUACAAUAUAUUAUAUACCAAUAGAAUACAUUAAACAGUCAACAAAAUGUGUCAAUGUUGUUUACAAUUUAUGGUUUUAUUUUUUAAUGUAAUUCAUGCCCCUGUCAGUGCUUCAGCCUCCUCAAGUUUGGCUCUCACGUCUGGGAUCUCCUGACGACACAGGCAAACUCUUGGAAGGGUAAUUACUUGACGGUUUACAGCAACACCUGGAAAAUAAAAUCGUUUUGUCAUUUAUUUUGAAAAAUCAAUAACAUAUCAUUCAUUUAGCCACAUUUGGGCUAGCUUUACCAUAUUUAGAUCGGUAGGAGCUGUCCCAUUACCUAAUAUCCAGUUUUAGUUAUGUGGAGAGCAUGGAAAAAUAUACAACCAUGUAAUCGCAUUCUCUCAAAUAAAAAAAUCACGAUGCUGGAUUUAGGCUUACCACUCACUCUCCUGUUCGUGAAGUAUCGAGCUUAAGCCUGUUGCAAUAUGCAAUAAUUCCAUUUAUCGCACAGUAAAUAAAAAUGAAGGCGGUAAUUUUUCCGCUGCAAUUUAUCGCCUCGCGUGCAUGUGCGUGCGCGCGUGUGGCAGACGUGCUGUUAAAAGUUCGGAUUCCUUGUUACCAACUGCGCAAAAUGCAUCUUCAUUCCAAGUCCGGCAAAAAAAUAGCGCCGGGGCCAAUCGUUCCCAUUGUAUCCUAUUGUUCAACGUAUACCGGUGUAGGUUCACUAUCCUCUUCUCCUCACUAUCCACUCGCUCUCGCUAUAUGAUUGGCCGAAGAGUCGAAAUGCUCUCCCGUGAUUGGCCGAAGAGUCGAAAUGCUGUCCCGUGAAAUGCCUGUUUAAAAAUGUUCCCGUUGUUACUUCUUGCGUUCGCUUAAAAGUGCUCAUUUAAAAAGGAAAAUCGAUGGAUGAUACUACACACAGAGCGUAUUAUUAACAAAUGCUAAAGUUGUAUAUUCAUAUAGCGAGAAUAAGGAACGUCACUGACAAGCGCAGGCCACCGCGAGUGGAUAGUGAGGGGAAUAGGAUAGUGUCAGUGACUGCGAACCAUCUCCGGCAUGCCGUUGUUGUUGACGUGUGGGCGCUCCCGUCAGGGGUGACAGUUCACGCGAGGCGGCUAUUUUUCGGCACAACACCGGAUAUUUGAGUGGCAGAUUAAGAGCGCUAUGCUUCAAACUCGCUCUGUUUAUGAAAGUCGAUUGUCAUAUGCUGGUCUUGUGCAGUAAUGAGCAGACGUGACUUCUGUGGCGUUUGCUAACUUUUUAAUGCGCGCACACACUAGAUAUCAUGUAAUAGCAAACUAGACGUGCUACGUCCCAUGCCAUUGGCUACGUGAGCCCAGAGUGAUUAUGGGACACGUAGUCCAUAUACUACAUCUAUGAAUUAUAAACCGCCAUGACUGAAUGGAAGUUAAGAAGGCCAAAUCAAUCCAUAGCAGUUAAUAUAGAUAAUGCUGCAAAUAUUGUUAAUUCAGUACGUGACACAGAUGGAUUCGGACCACAAAUAGGAUGUCUUGCUCAUGUAGUAAACGUAGCUGCUAAGAGAGCUGUAGCAAUAAACAGUGUGCCCCGCCUCACUUUAAAAACAGUAAAGAUGGUUCUCAUAACUUUUAUACAAAAUUUCUUCAGAUCAGUAAGAAGUAAGCACAUAAAUAUUAUUAACUAAAAUGCAUGUUUAUAUGAUGGGAAUAUAAUUUUUGCUCGUUAGCAAAAAAAAUAAAAAAUAAUAAAAAAAAGAAACAAAAAAUACAAUUUCUUAUAUUUUUUUCAGAGCAUUAAAUGUAUUGAAUCGGAUCGAAAAUCGUGUCCCCCGUAUCGAAAAUCGUACUGAACCGUGACUUAACUGUAUCGUUGCAUCCUUAUGGAACACCAUUGCAAAAAGUAUGAGGGGAAAAGUUUUCAUUUGCCUCAAUGUUUAAGUUAUUAAGUGCAAUUUUAUUAUUUUCUUGAAAAAUGCAUUUUAUUUAUUCUGUGUUUCUGUGCGGUAUGAGUAUUGUUGUCUUUUACUUAAGAGGUAUGGUCUAUUGUUUUUAAUUAUGAUUUCUCAAAAAGUAUUUUUGAAUUUAAGAGUAAAUAUUUAUCGCGUUUAAAUGGGUGUACUUGAUCUAUUAAUAUAUAAUGUAUUCUCACUGUGUUAUUGUAAAUUGGUUUUUCAAAAAAAAAAGAAUGGGGGGGCGCAAUAAUAUUGCAUAUCGCAAUAAUUUAUGAGAUAAUUUAUCGCACACUAAAAUUUGUUAUCGCGACAGGCCUAGUCGAGCUGUUAAUUGGCGUCAUGACGACAUAUGCUGUGUCAAGUAAAUAGCCGUCAUCUGACGCCUCAGGUUCAAACAUGUAAGGAUUAAUUGUAGUUCAUCUUUCCUGGGAGCCUUUGCCAUCGGUUGCGUCACGAAUGAGCGAUCCUGAAUGGUUACCUUUGGUGGAAAUAUCACUGAUAUGGGGUCAGAUUAGUCUCAUAAGUACUCGUACAUACAUUGUGGGAUUCGUAAACACAUAGCACGCGAAACACACACACAUUGUGGGAUUCGUACACACAUAGCAUGCGAACCACACGCAAUUGUGGGAUUCGUACACACAUAGCACGCGAACCACACACAUUGUGGGAUUCGUAAACACAUAGCACGCGAAACACACACACAUCGUGGGAUUCGUAAACACAUAGCACGCGAAACACAAACACAUUCACCAAAUGUGUGUGUGAAUUGUUUUACGCGCAUUUGCAACGUGCUUCCAAUUACAAAUUCCCACUUACGAAUACAAAUUCCCACUUACGAAUGUGUGGAUCGUUUUGAUACCCGUCAUGCGCAACUGAGAAGAACACAUGCAUUUUUUUAACUGGAGCCCGUCUUCAGCCAAUCAGACGUCUUCUUCUUAAACAGCCAAUCACAAGGGCUGGGCUGUUUCGUUACGUCACUGCUGUGCGCCUUCAAGUCCGGUGUACUGAGUGACAAGUGACAAAUGGGGAGCUUUUGUAAAAGUAGGAGCCCCGUUUUUGACAGCUCAACUCGACCGCGGGGACUAUCGAUGCAAGCUGAAGACGUCCCAUCCAUUUUGAGUGGGAGGACCUCCCAUGCACUUCAAAUGUAUUGGAUGUCAACUGGUGAAAAACUCAUUGAACCGCUCAGCAGAGGGAUGAUGAGAGCAAGAUUAGAUGUCUAAUACUGUACUAUAUGUGGCACAUUUUUAACAGGCUUUUUUUCCGCUAAAUAAGUCUUUUUAAGAUUACUUUCUCCAUUUCAAGCCUAUUUGAAAGUCAUACUUGGGAAAAUUCAGACUUCUUAAUGUAUGAUUGUGAUGUCUAUGCUUAAACCAAUUUAAGACCAUUUUAAAAGGAAAAAAAUAGACAUUAUAAGCCUGUUAAAAAUGCUACCUACAGUGACAGUAUUUAAAGGAUGGUAGUCUAUUACGGAUAUAAAAAAAUAUAUUUUUUGAAAGACUUGGAGCAACAGAGCUUUCUUGCCAAAUGAAUCACAUUUGAUACACUUAGGAUUUAGAACUCUUUCCUCAAAAAAAAAAAAAAAAAAAAAAAAAAAGGAUGCAAGUCAACUCAUGCAUCUGCAUGUUCCAUGAGAAAAACAGGAUUUAACAAGGAAAAUAGAUAUUAGAGCGCUUAUUACACAUUUUUCUUUACAAAUUUGGAAAAAAAAAGGUUUAAGACCUUAUUUUUCACAUUUUGUGAUUCUCUGACAAUUGCUUCAUAUUGCAGGCAUUAAGGGGUUAAGACCUGCCACAUGAAUUUUACUACCUUUUUAAACACUUUUUUUUUAUUGCGACAAACCUAAUAAGUGAUCAAUGAUGGCAAGAGAGGAUAAAGCGCAGCAGCAAAUCCUCAGAUCUGUUCUUUGGAUGCCUUUGAAAGUAAAUAGUGACAUUGAGAGCAAUCAGGAGUUCAAUUAUGUGAGGUGAGGAGACCAAGUAAGUUUUGAGACAUUUUUUAAAUUUAAAUAGACAUCUCAGACUCCCAGCCUGUAGGAGGGCACAGGCUAGAUCUCCUCGAGCCUUCAGAACUUCGGGAAGGUGGGUCUGGUUGUGCCUGAGAUCUCCAUUGGCCAUAUACUCUUCCGCAAACUGAAAUGGCAUUUUAGGCAUUCUGUUACAUAUCAGUGCUAAACAACAACAGCAGCAAAGUUUUACUGCAGAGACUCCGAAAUCUUAAAAUCAUUACCUUUAAUGUGAAAACCCCACAGCUACUGUUGUUCUGCUGCUUGUUAUGGGCCACAGUUUUGGUAGUCCAAGUUUCUAUUUGGAACUCACGGCCCGCCAACCUCAAGAAGUUCCUAAUUAUUGUUUUAUAAGCAAAACAAUGAAGAUGAACAUUGAACUAUUAACUUCCAUAUUAACAUCAUACUAGGAAUUUAAACUUUCUGAAGCGGUUACCUCCAAUUCCGCAAGAUUUUGCUCAUAUUUGUCCUCGUUACUCAAGGGAUCGUUGAUCACCAGUGUUCUCUUAGAAAUGUGGACAAUCUAUAAAAGGUUAGUUCCUUUGUGUAAUUCUGCACAAUGACAGAUUUAUGUAGUUAACUUACUAAUGAAAUUUAACUUCUGUAUGGCAUCAGCUAAAUUAAUAGCUAUAUAUAAUACAUUCCAGAAUCGGUAGGUCUUAAGAAAAUAUAAGAAACCCACUAACCACUAAAAUCCAAUGAGCGCAUACAGGACAGGACAGGACAAAUAUACUUUUUUUUUCAACAGGGAAUUUCCUCUGAAGAACAUACAAUACCAAAUUAUUGUUAUUUUGGGUUACUGGCGUUAAAAUAAUAUAGCUAAAUAUUGGCAUGAAAUGGAUUACCUUUCUAACAGGCUGAAAUUUUCCCAAAAGCAGACUCCCAGCUACCACAGCAGAGAGUUGGUGAAUGGGCUCCUGUUAAAAAAAGGGGUAACAACAUUACAACUAUACUCCGGCAAAAAAUAAAUGCAUUGAGAAAAACUAUAUCCAGCACUUGGCUGCUGCCUUUCAAUGAGGAUAUGCAUGUAUGCAUCAAAUACUUGCAUAGCAAAAUAAAAAAAUUGGCAAAAGGCAAGAAUCUUUGUUAUUUGCUAAACACUUAUUGCUCUCACUGACUUCAUCAGACAGCCAGCCGUUGCCUUUUAGCGUAUGAAAAGAUGUGUCAUAUAAUUUAUACGGUCCAACGACAGCCUCCACCUUGCCUUGAUCCUCUGCAGCCCACAGUAAUUUAACUGAAAACACAACAUUGUUAAAUCAAAAAAGUUAUUAUUUACGGCACUUGACCAGAUGACCAUCCGGUCAAAAUUAUCUACUGAAUAGGCCAAACCACCAAACAAAUCCUGUCGGUCGUUCACCAAUUUUGUAAGAGCUGUACGAAGUAGAAGGGUACAAUUAGAUAUACAUUUUAGAACACCAACAACAAC